GAGCAGAGGUGCCGAGCGUUAGGCGGAAUCACUGGGCUUAAAGCGUGUGUAGGCGGAUCUGUAAGUACCUUGUGAAAUCCCACGGCUCAACCGUGGAACUGCUUGGUAUACUGCGGGUCGUGAGCCACCUAGGGGCAAGUGGAACAAACGGUGGAGCGGUGAAAUGCGUAGAUAUCGUUUGGAACGCCAAUGGUGAAAACAACUUGCUGGGGGUGUGCUGACGCUGAGACACGAAAGCCAGGGGAGCAAACGGG
rnacentral:rRNA from 1 species